GACGAACGCUGGCGGCGUACUUAACACAUGCAAGUCGAACGGAAAGGCCCUGCUUUUGUGGGGUGCUCGAGUGGCGAACGGGUGAGUAACACGUGAGUAACCUGCCCUUGACUUUGGGAUAACUUCAGGAAACUGGGGCUAAUACCGGAUAGGAGCUCCUGCUGCAUGGUGGGGGUUGGAAAGUUUCGGCGGUUGGGGAUGGACUCGCGGCUUAUCAGCUUGUUUGUGGGGUAGUGGCUUACCAAGGCUUUGACGGGUAGCCGGCCUGAGAGGGUGGCCGGCGACAUUGGGACUGAGGGACGGCGCAGUAUCCUACGGGAGGCAGCAGGGGGGAAUAUUGCACAGUGGGCGGAAGCGUGAUGCAGCAGCGCCGCGUGCGGGAUGACGGCCUUCGGGUUGUAAACCGCUUUCGCCUGUGACGAAGCGUGAGUGACGGUAAUGGGUAAAGAAGCACCGGCUAACUACGUG
rnacentral:rRNA from 1 species